rnacentral:tRNA from 1 species
GGGGGCGGAUGGCGGCCGGUGUCGCCUGCGGUCUUCAAAACCGUUGCGGGGCGCGAGUAGCGUCCCGGGUGGGUUCGACUCCCACACGCUCCCGCCA